rnacentral:rRNA from 1 species
AAUGAACGUUGGCGGCGUGGAUUAGGCAUGCAAGUCGAGCGCUCAUAGCAAUAUGGGAGCGGCGAACGGCGUAGGAAUUCAUAGGAACGUACCCUCAGGACGGGGAUAGCUACGGGAAACUGUAGGUAAUACCCGAUGAUCUCCGCGGAGCAAAGGUGUGAUUCCGCCUGAGGAGCGGCUUAUGCGAUAUUAGCUAGUUGGUGGGGUAAUGGCCUACCAAGGCGACGAUGUCUAGGGGGUGUGAGAGCAUGGCCCCCACGACCGGAACUGAGAUACUGUCCGGACACCUACGGGUGGCUGCAGUCGAGAAUCUUCCGCAAUGGACGAAAGUCUGACGGAGCGACGCCGCGUGCGGGAUGAAGGCCCUUGGGUUGUAAACCGCUUUCGGAGGGGAUGAAAUCCUCGAGGGUUCUCCCAUUGUGUUGACAGAGCCUCAGAGGAAGCGCGGGCUAAGUUCGUGCCAGCAGCCGCGGUAAUGUCUAGC